AAACCAAACAAGCUGAAUAAGAACAGUGAUAUAGAAGAUAUAUAU
rnacentral:guide_RNA from 1 species